UUUUUCCUUUUUAUUUAAAUAAUGAUUCACUGUGUACCUAUUUAUUUAUUUAUCUUUUUCCUAUGGGACACAGUUGCGCUGCCUUAUGUUGCUGCUGCCUCUUGGACAUGUGCUUUUAAGGACUCUGAAUGAUUCUUUGUAAAAUUUGCAGCUUAUAAUUGCUUCCCUUGUGUUUCUGUUUGCAAAUCAUAAUUAUUUUUGCUCUUUUUAUGUCACUGUACGUACUAUGUAUUCUUUAUUCACUCAAUAGCCUUCCUCUUCGAUUAAUAGGCAGGUAAUCUUCGGGUAUGGAGAAUUAAUUGUUUUUUAAAAUAUUUUUUAUUUAUAAAUAUAUUAAAAUAAUAUAUUUUUAAUUUUUUUUUAAUAUCAAUACAUCAAACAAAAUCUGAAAAUAUAUAAAAAAAAUUAAAUGUUUUUUUAUUUAUUUUAACCAACCCUUAACCCGUAAUUCUAAUCAGUGGCGAAAUCUUAAAAAGGAUCUCAGUACAUUAAUCAAAUUGCUGAUAGAUGGGCUAUAUAUAUAGACUAGUUUGUGUUUCAAAAGUUGAGGAGCUUGGUAACGGGACAGGCUCCACGGCGUAACCUACGCGAGUGGGAAGGGAGACUGUAGACUUCAGAAUAGAAAAGAAAAGGCUAAAGAAUUGAUGCAAUGAAACAUAACUAAUCAUUGUAUAUACUCUUAUAGGUUGUUUUACAUUACAUUUGUACUUGUGUUUUUUAAUGUAUUUUAAAGGUGAGUUUGGUAUAAAAAAAGACAUCGAAUUAAUUUUUAAAAUUUUUUAUGAUAGUUUUAAUGUAAUGAUGUUACUAAUAAGAAAAUUUUUUUAAAAAAAUUAAUAUAUUUUUUAAAAAAUACAUAUCAAACACAUUUGAUCUUCCGACAAAAGAUGAACUCAAAUGAUUUGUUAAUUCAAGUGCUGAUUAAUAGAAAGCAAGGUGAUUCAAGUGAUGAUUAAUAGAUGAACUCAUCUAAUAUAAAAAUAAUUCUAAGUGAUGUUUUUUAAAAUUUUAACCGCUCUCUAUUUAGCAUGCAAUCCUAAUCAGUGGCGAAAUCUUAAAAAGGAUCUCAGUACAUUAAUCAAAUUGCUGAUAGAAGGGCUAUAGACUAGUUUGUGUUUUGAACGUUGAGCAGCUUGGUAAUGGGACAGACAGGCUCCAUGGCGUAACCUGCACGAGUGGGAAUGGAGACUGUAGACUUUAGAAAAACAUAUAUUUAAAUAACAUAUAUUUUUAAUAUUUUUUUAUGGUUUUAAUAUGCUAAUAUCAAUAAUUAAAAAAUUAAAAAAUAUAUUUUAAUAUAUUAAAAAAAAAUAUUUUGAAAAACAUAUUUUACUAUAAUACCAAACACACAUUUAAUCAUUUUUCCCUUUUUAUUUAAAUAAUGAUUAACUGUAAAAUUUGCAGCUUAUAAUUGUUUCCCUUGUGUUUCUUGUUGGAAAUAAUAAUUAUUUUCGUUCUUUUUAUAUCACUGUACGUACUACGUUUAACAUUUGUCUAAUUCCUUCAGCCUUUAUUAUAGGAAAGAUGUUAACCAUGUUAGAAAAUCUUGCUUCCACUGAGUCUAUCUUAGAAACAGAAUUUGGAAGAAAAAUUGAUUAAAAAUUCAGUUUCUACAGAUUCAAAGUUCAUCGAGUUACCUACCGAAAUCAAUCUAGCGCCUGUCCAUAUCCGCUUAAGUGAUGGUAAGGGAAGCAUUAAGCGGCCGACACCAUAGAUAGCCACUGCAAAGAAAUGGAGAACCAAGUUCAUUGGCCGAUGGUCUAGACCAGAGAGUAGAGCUAUGGGUCCAUUCGAAAAAACUCCACCAAGGCUUAAAUAGUCAAAGCAAGGGUCAAAAUACGUGAAGAAAUAAGAUAGACUAAAAAUUGGAUUAAUAAAGAUAAAAACCGAGCCUUUUGGUUGUACUUUAAAUUGACUUAAUCUUAAUUAUUGUUCUCUGCAAAUAGGAAAUCAUAUGUACAGAAGCAGAUAAUGGAAUCAAUAACCUUCGGUCUGCGUGUAUUUUCCUAUAAUAUCAAAAGUGAAAAAAAUUAUUCUUUGAAUUCGUCAAGAAUAUAUGAAGUAUGUUUAUAGAAAAGGAUGCCGAUAAUGUUGAAAUAGGAGAAGAUUUCCUUUUGAUAUAUUUAGAUUCAAGUAAAAAUAUUCCUAGUUUAAAAAGAUUUGUAUUUAGGAUUUUUAUUAAAUUAAUAUUUAAAAUCCUUAUUUGAAAAAAGAUAGUUUAAAUUUAUCUUGAUUCUAUAAACUUCUUUUAAAUAUAAGGGUGAUAUGUGUUAAUUAUCAGUGAAUAAAGGCUUAGUAUUAAUUAAAGUUUCUUGGAAUAAAUCAAGUCUUGUUUUCAAAACAUGACAGCUACCAAUCUCACGGUAAGAUUUUAGGAGCGUAUCCACCGCCACCGAGCCAGCUGGGGCGCGAUGUCCUCCUCCUUCGCAAGCUUAUGCACUACCCGUCCAAGCUGGUCCGUAUGUUGCUCCACAUCCAGUUGAUUACCCUCCGACAAAUGGUGCUGAACACACCAAAAUAUCACCCCCUCCUGAAAAAGAAGAAGCAUAAAUGGUAACUGAGCAUUUCAAAACUCUCUCUGUGUAAAUUCCAUUGCAAAUAAUAAUUCAUCGUUAUAUAUAUAUAUAUAUAGAAAAAGAAUCAGCUUGCAUGCCUGGAGGUUGAUGGACAGAUCCUAUCUAAACCAAUCGAUGUGAAGCUAGCUAUCUUUAACUUUUUUCGCAACCUAUACUCCCACCAGAACAGACCUAGAGCUUCAUGUUCAAACCUGGAAUUCUCAAGGCUGAAGCCUUCAUCCUCGGCUGCUCUUGAAUUGCCAUUUUCUGCAGAAGAGAUUAAAACAGCUGUGUGGGAUUGUGAUGGAAAUAAAGCUCCAGGUCCUGAUGGUAUUAACUUCCUUUUCAUCAAGAAAGCGUGGAACAUUAUAGGUGAGGAUAUUAUCCAGAUGGUUGAUGACUUCUAUCGGACUAAUCUCCUUCCUGCUGGUAUCAAUAGCACCUUUGUUACUCUUAUUCCGAAGAUUAAAGGUGCAAACAAGCUAUCAGAUUUCAGACCUAUUAGUUUGGUUGGCAGCCUAUACAAGAUCAUCUCAAAGAUUCUAGCAACCAGGUUGAAACAUGUUAUGCCAGAGGUCAUCUCUCAUCAUCAAAAUGCUUUCCUCAAAGGGAGGCAAAUUUUAGACAGCGUCUUGAUUGCAAAUGAGGUCCUUUUUUUCAUUAAGAAGAAAAAGGGUAAAGCUUAUCUCUUCAAAUUAGAUUUUCAUAAAGCCUUUGAUUCGGUGUUAUGGGAAUAUAUUAAUGAAAUCAUGGCUAGUAUGGGCUUUGGCAAUAGAUGGCGAGGGUGGAUUAUGCAAUGCAUAUCAACGGCAAAAAUGUCUGUGCUUGUUAAUGGGUCUCCCACGGAGGAAUUCUGCUUAGCUAAAGGCCUACGCCAAGGAGACCCUCUCUCUCCGUUUCUCUUCAACAUUGCAGUCCAGGGAUUGAGUUAUAUGUUGCAGCGUGGCUGUGAUUUGGGUUUGACUUCAGGUAUCAACAUCGGCAAUGCAGGGCUUGUCAUAUCUCACUUACAGUUUGCGGACGACACCCUUAUAUUCAGUUCAGACUCUUUACAUAGCAUGCAGAACAUUAAAUGUAUCCUAUUAUGCUUUGAACUUGUCUCGGGGUUGAAGGUCAAUUUUUAUAAAAGUAGCAUUGUCGGUGUGGGUGUAGCAGCUCAUACAUGUAACUUCACGGCUCAGCUUCUCAGAUGCAAGCAGGAUCAGCUGCCUCUCAUGUAUCUUGGACUCCCCAUCGGUGGAAACCUGGUCAGAGCUACAAUGUGGAAUCCUAUUUUACGCAAUAUCAGUUUCCGGUUGGCUUCGUGGAAAUGCAGGUUCUUAUCUAUUGGGGGCCGUUUGUGCUUGAUUAAAUCUGUGCUCCGCAACCUCCCCAUCUACUACCUAUCUAUGUUCCCUAUGCCUGCUUCGGUUGCCUCCAUAAUUGAUCACAAACUUCGAUCCUUCCUCUGGUCUGGAAAUGAGGAAAGACACAAAAUUUGCAAUGUCAGCUGGGCCACUGUUACUCUUCCAAAACAAGCGGGUGGUCUUGGGAUUGGUCCCUUAAGGGACAAAAACACAGCUCUGCUCUUUAAAUGGUUAUGGAGGUUUGGGUCGGAGGAAUCAAGUUUGUGGACGGAUGUGAUCAAAAGCAUCCACAUCUCCAAUUGCUCUAAUCUGCUGCUGCAAGCUCCUAUUCCAUGAGCUGCAACUACAUGGUCCCGGAUUGUCAAUCAUUGUGUGAGAAAUAAUAAGCUGCAGGAUAUUGUGAAAGAGCAAUCUCUGGUUCUUAUCGGAAAUGGCAAGAAGACUAAAUUUUGGCUUGACUGCUGGCUUAAUAACCACUGUUUAGCAGAGCACUUCCCUACUCUUUUCCAAUUAUCCAAUGACAAAGCUGCCAGCAUUGCUAAAAUGGGAAUGUGGGAAGGGUAUGAGUGGAUUUGGGUUUUUUCCUGGAUACGUCCGCUACGGGGGUGCAGCAUUGGCUUGCUCGAUCAGCUUUAUGCAAUCCUAUCGACUGUACUCAUGGACAAAGAUGAAGAGGAUAGACUAAUAUGGAAGGACAAUAAUUCAGGAAGAUUUUCAGUUAAAUCUCUCUGUGGAUUGUUAAGCCCAAAGCCUUCCACAAACAAUGCCUUCUCGUUUGCUGGAAUUUGGAAAGGUAUUGUCCCUCCUAAGGUAGAGAUCUUUUGCUGGAUGGCUAUCAUUAACAGAAUCAACACCUGAUGCAUGUUGGUUCGAAGAGGUAUAUUGAGUAGCUCAGAAUCAAAUUGCCCUAUCUGCCUAGUGGAGGCAGAAUCGGUGGACCAUAUCCUGCUUCAAUGCCAUAAGCAUUGGCUCAUUUGGUCCAAAAUCAUUAAGUGGUGGGGUUUAGUUUGGUGUUGCCCAAAGAGCUUCUCAGAUUUGUGGUCUCAAUGGACUUCCAUGGUGCAUGGUCAUUUUCAGAGGAAAGCGUGGCUGAUGUUGUUCUUCUCAGUGGCAUGGUCUCUUUGGCUACUUCGAAAUGAUCUGAUCUUCCAACAGAAGACACCUGACUAUGAUUCAAUAUUCUUUCUUAUUAUCACCCGUCUAUGUCUAUGGCUAAAAGCUAUCCAUUCUGAUUUCCCAUACUCCCCUUCAGAUCUGAUUAGAUCGGCAGAUGGCUUACUUCGGUGGUCCAAUGCCCACUCCUUCAGGAUUCAUAAUAUGUGGUCUCCUCCUAUGAUUAAUAGCCUCAAAUGGAACGUGGAUGGCUCGUCUCUUGGUAAGCCAGUCCCUUCUGGAAUAGGUGGUGUACUGCGAAAUCAUCAUGGACAUCUUCUCGGUAUGUUCUCUGUUCCAGUUGGUAUUUUAGACUCUAAUAUUGCUGAGUUAAGGGCUAUUGUCAAAGCCAUUGAACUUUCAGCAUCUAAUUGUCUCUUCCACCAUCAACACCUUAUCAUAGAAUCUGACUCAGUCAAUGCUUUUUUCGUUUACCAAACAAGUUUUUCAGAGGUGAUAUCGUAUCUUGAUUUCAACAAUGAGUUACUACAACAACCAGUAUCAAGCUUCAGCAGGUAAUUGAAUUUAUGUUCGGCUUGUGAAAAUCUUUUCUUUUCUUUUCUUUUUUUCUUUUUUUAAUGUGAUUUAGGAAGUUAAUCAAAAUGGGUUACUAAAUUGAUGAUUUUUCAGGAGUAUAUCCUCCACCACCUCCAGCAUCUGGUUCAUAUUAUCCACCAAAGCAGGAGGUGUAUCCUCCUCCUCCUCCACCACAGUUUUAUCCACCACCACUAGUGCAAGGGUACUAUGAAUUGCCGGUCCUUAUGUUGCACCACCUCCAGUUAGUUACCCUAUGAGAUAUGGUCCUCAACACCACCAACAGCCACCUCCUCCUCCAGAAAAAACUAAGCAGAGGGGUGAUGAAUUUUGCACAGGAUGGUAACUGAGCAUUUUUUUUUCCUUUUCAUUUAAAUAAUGAUUCACUUUGUACCUAUUUAUUUAUUUAUCUUUUUCCUAUGGGACACGGUUGCGCUGCCUUAUGGUGCUGCUGCCUCUUGGACAUGUGCUUUUAAGGACGAUGAAUGAUUCUUUGUAAAAUUUGCAGCUUAUAAUUGCUUCCCUUGUGUUUCUUGUUGCAAAUCAUAAUUAUUUUUGCUCUUUUUAUGUCACUGUGCUAUGUAACCUUCCUCUUUGAUUAAUAGGCAGGUAAUAUUCGGGUAUGGAG
rnacentral:lncRNA from 1 species